AUGCCUUUGCUGGUAAUUCUUUUCAUAACAACUUCUGUGGAUGGUGCUCUCCUUGAUGCUCCUAAGGACGUAGUCGUCAGAAUCACCAACGCGUUACAAAACAACAUAAACUUGACGGUGCACUGCAAAUCCGGCGACGACGACCUUGGGCUGCAGACACUUCGUAUAAAUGAAAACUUUGAGUUUAAUUUCCAAACAAAUAUUUUUGGAUCUACACUCUUCUUCUGCGGGUUUAAAUGGUCGAAUGAAUUUCGUUGGUUCGAUAUUUUCACAGAUAAGAGGGAUGAUUGCAGCAGUUGCUAUUGGACUAUAAUUGAACUUGGGCCUUGCUUGUAUGGUAUUGACGGUCUCUGCUACCAGUGGAACAAGCAUUA
rnacentral:lncRNA from 1 species